GUCAACAACCCACCACUGACUUGAGUACAAGUACAGUGGGGGCUUGAAAUACAGCCCUAGUUGACCAGCCUAAGUCUUAACUGACUCCGUUAUUUAGGUCACGACACCGGGCGGAUGCGUAGCUAGUCCCCUGCUCUGUC
rnacentral:sRNA from 1 species